GGGGGCGAAUUGGGCUCGACGCUGAAAGCCGAGGUGUUGGCUGCGAGCCGGGUGGGCGCGAGUCCCGUUAACAACGCGCAAACUUACAAAUGCCGAGCCUGUUGCUUUGGCUGCCUAAUUGACGGCAGCACGUCCUGCUGACGCUCGCCGGUGGCGUUGGACAGGGCGUCAGAUAGCCGGCUGCGCAGCGGUGAGAGCCAGCAUAGCCGCUGCUAAGACAGAUGCUGGCUUGCUCGCUUGGUAUUCCGCUCGCCGAAGACCAAGCGAGGAGAGGUAAAAGGCGAGAUACGCUCGUAGACGCCAACACUGAGGUUUCAGCGGACGCGGGUUCGAUUCCCGCCGCCUCCACCA
rnacentral:tmRNA from 1 species